UUCCUACGGGGGGCAGCAGUGAGGAAUAUUGGUCAAUGGGCUUACGCCUGAACCAGCCAAGUCGCGUGAGGGAAGACUGCCCUAUGGGUUGUAAACCUCUUUUGUCAGGGAGCAACGCCGGCUACGUGUAGCCGGACUGAGAGUACCUGAAGAAAAAGCAUCGGCUAACUCCGUGCCAGCAGCCGCGGUAAUACGGAGGAUGCGAGCGUUAUCCGGAUUCAUUGGGUUUAAAGGGUGCGCAGGCGGGCCUUUAAGCCGGCGGUGAAAUCGCGGGG
rnacentral:rRNA from 1 species